rnacentral:rRNA from 1 species
GGGUUGUGAGGUUAAGCGACUAAGCGUACACGGUGGAUGCCCUGGCAGUCAGAGGCGAUGAAGGACGUGCUAAUCUGCGAAAAGCGCCGGCGAGGUGAUAUGAACCCUUGACCCGGCGAUGUCCGAAUGGGGAAACCCAGUGCAAUCCGUUGCACUAUCGUUAACUGAAUACAUAGGUUAACGAGGCGAACCGGGGGAACUGAAACAUCUAAGUACCCCGAGGAAAAGAAAUCAACCGAGAUUCCCCCAGUAGCGGCGAGCGAACGGGGAGCAGCCCGGAGUCUGAAUCAGCUUGUGUGUUAGUGGAACGGUCUGGAAAGUCCGACGGUACAGGGUGAUAGUCCCGUACACGAAAGCACACAUGCUGUGAACUCGAAGAGUAGGGCGGGACACGUGGUAUCCUGUCUGAAUAUGGGGGGACCAUCCUCCAAGGCUAAAUACUCCUGACUGACCGAUAGUGAACCAGUACCGUGAGGGAAAGGCGAAAAGAACCCCGGCGAGGGGAGUGAAAAAGAACCUGAAACCGUGUACGUACAAGCAGUGGGAGCCUCUUUAUGGGGUGACUGCGUACCUUUUGUAUAAUGGGUCAGCGACUUAUAUUCUGUAGCAAGGUUAACCGUAUAGGGGAGCCGAAGGGAAACCGAGUCUUAACUGGGCGUUAAGUUGCAGGGUAUAGACCCGAAACCCGGUGAUCUAGCCAUGGGCAGGUUGAAGGUUGGGUAACACUAACUGGAGGACCGAACCGACUAAUGUUGAAAAAUUAGCGGAUGACCUGUGGCUGGGGGUGAAAGGCCAAUCAAACCGGGAGAUAGCUGGUUCUCCCCGAAAGCUAUUUAGGUAGCGCCUCGUGAACUCAUCUUCGGGGGUAGAGCACUGUUUCGGCUAGGGGGCCAUCCCGGCUUACCAACCCGAUGCAAACUACGAAUACCGAAGAAUGUUAUCACGGGAGACACACGGCGGGUGCUAACGUCCGUCGUGAAGAGGGAAACAACCCAGACCGCCAGCUAAGGUCCCAAAGUCAUGGUUAAGUGGGAAACGAUGUGGGAAGGCACAGACAGCCAGGAUGUUGGCUUAGAAGCAGCCAUCAUUUAAAGAAAGCGUAAUAGCUCACUGGUCGAGUCGGCCUGCGCGGAAGAUGUAACGGGGCUAAACCAUGCACCGAAGCUGCGGCAGCGACACUUAUGUGUUGUUGGGUAGGGGAGCGUUCUGUAAGCCGUUGAAGGUGUGCUGUGAGGCAUGCUGGAGGUAUCAGAAGUGCGAAUGCUGACAUAAGUAACGAUAAAGCGGGUGAAAAGCCCGCUCGCCGGAAGACCAAGGGUUCCUGUCCAACGUUAAUCGGGGCAGGGUGAGUCGACCCCUAAGGCGAGGCCGAAAGGCGUAGUCGAUGGGAAACAGGUUAAUAUUCCUGUACUUGGUGUUACUGCGAAGGGGGGACGGAGAAGGCUAUGUCAGCCGGGCGACGGUUGUCCCGGUUUAAGCAUGUAGGCGGAGGUUCCAGGUAAAUCCGGUACCUUUUAACGCUGAGGUGUGAUGACGAGGCACUACGGUGCUGAAGUGAUAAAUGCCCUGCUUCCAGGAAAAGCCUCUAAGCAUCAGGUAACACGAAAUCGUACCCCAAACCGACACAGGUGGUCAGGUAGAGAAUACCAAGGCGCUUGAGAGAACUCGGGUGAAGGAACUAGGCAAAAUGGUGCCGUAACUUCGGGAGAAGGCACGCUGAUGUGUAGGUGAAGCCCCUGCGGGUGGAGCUGAAAUCAGUCGAAGAUACCAGCUGGCUGCAACUGUUUAUUAAAAACACAGCACUGUGCAAACACGAAAGUGGACGUAUACGGUGUGACGCCUGCCCGGUGCCGGAAGGUUAAUUGAUGGGGUUAGCGGCAACGCGAAGCUCUUGAUCGAAGCCCCGGUAAACGGCGGCCGUAACUAUAACGGUCCUAAGGUAGCGAAAUUCCUUGUCGGGUAAGUUCCGACCUGCACGAAUGGCGUAAUGAUGGCCAGGCUGUCUCCACCCGAGACUCAGUGAAAUUGAACUCGCUGUGAAGAUGCAGUGUACCCGCGGCAAGACGGAAAGACCCCGUGAACCUUUACUAUAGCUUGACACUGAACACUGGUCCUUGAUGUGUAGGAUAGGUGGGAGGCUUUGAAGCGUGGACGCCAGUCUGCGUGGAGCCGCCCUUGAAAUACCACCCUUUAAUGGCUGGUGUUCUAACGUGGACCCGUAAUCCGGGUUGCGGACAGUGUCUGGUGGGUAGUUUGACUGGGGCGGUCUCCUCCCAAAGAGUAACGGAGGAGCACGAAGGUUGGCUAAUCCUGGUCGGACAUCAGGAGGUUAGUGCAAUGGCAUAAGCCAGCUUGACUGCGAGCGUGACGGCGCGAGCAGGUGCGAAAGCAGGUCAUAGUGAUCCGGUGGUUCUGAAUGGAAGGGCCAUCGCUCAACGGAUAAAAGGUACUCCGGGGAUAACAGGCUGAUACCGCCCAAGAGUUCAUAUCGACGGCGGUGUUUGGCACCUCGAUGUCGGCUCAUCACAUCCUGGGGCUGAAGUAGGUCCCAAGGGUAUGGCUGUUCGCCAUUUAAAGUGGUACGCGAGCUGGGUUUAGAACGUCGUGAGACAGUUCGGUCCCUAUCUGCCGUGGGCGCUGGAGAAUUGAGGGGGGCUGCUCCUAGUACGAGAGGACCGGAGUGGACGCAUCACUGGUGUUCGGGUUGUCAUGCCAAUGGCACUGCCCGGUAGCUAAAUGCGGAAGAGAUAAGUGCUGAAAGCAUCUAAGCACGAAACUUGCCCCGAGAUGAGUUCUCCCUGAGACUUUAAGUCUCCUGAAGGAACGUUGAAGACGACGACGUUGAUAGGUCGGGUGUGUAAGCGCAGCGAUGCGUUGAGCUAACCGAUACUAAUGAACCGUGAGGCUUAACCUUACAACGCCGAAGGUGUUU